GCGCCCGUAGCUCAGUUGGAUAGAGCAACGGCCUUCUAAGCCGUGGGCCGCAGGUUCGAAUCCUGCCGGGCGCACCA
rnacentral:tRNA from 2 species